rnacentral:pre_miRNA from 1 species
UUUUUAGGAUAAGUAUAUCCCAUGUAAUGUUUGGGACAUACUUACACUAAAA